rnacentral:rRNA from 1 species
GACGUAGGGUCCGAGCGUUGUCCGGAGUUACUGGGCGUAAAGGGCGCGUAGGCGGUUCCAUGCGUCCCACGUGAAAGCCCCUGGCUCAACCAGGGAGGGUCGUGGGAAACGGGGGAACUGGAGGCAGAGAGAGGCUGGUGGAAUUCCCGGAGUAGUGGUGAAAUGCGUAGAUAUCGGGAGGAACACCUGUGGCGAAAGCGGCGCACUGGACCACAACUGACGCUGAGGCGCGAAAGCUAGGGGAGCAAACAGG